rnacentral:rRNA from 1 species
UGGGGAAUCUUGGACAAUGGGCGCAAGCCUGAUCCAGCCAUGCCGCGUGAGUGAUGAAGGCCCUAGGGUUGUAAAACUCUUUCGUGGGGGACGAUAAUGACGGUACCCCAAGAAGAAGCUCCGGCUAACUACGUGCCAGCAGCCGCGGUAAUACGUAGGGACCAAGCGUUGUUCGGAUUUACUGGGCGUAAAGGGUGCGUAGGCGGCAUAUCAAGUCACUUGUGAAAUCUCCGGGCUUAACUCGGAACUGCCAAGUGAUACUGAUGUGCUAGAGUGCAGAAAGGGCAACUGGAAUUCUUGGUGUAGCGGUGAAAUGCGUAGAUAUCAAGAGGAACACCUGAGGCGAAGGCGAGUUGCUAGGCUGACACUGACGCUGAGGUACGAAAGCUAGGGGAGCGAACGGGAUUAGAUACCCCCGUAGUCCCUGAGCGGGCUGGCAAGGCGCAU